UUCAUUUCUAGCCCUAGUUGUGGAACACAACCGUAGUCAUGGCAAUGUCUGAGCAGAUGAAGGCAAAUGUGGGCAAGUUGCUCAGGGGUAUUGACAGGUACAAUCCUGAAAACCUGGCCACCUUGAAGAACUAUGUGGAGACACAGGAAAAGGAGAAUGCCUAUGAUCUGGAAGCCAACCUGGCUGUUCUGAAGUUGUACCAGUUCAACCUAGCCUUCUUUCAGACCAUAGUCACUGCCCAUAUUCUGCUGAAGACCCUCACCAACCUGCCCCACACUGGCUUUACCCUGUGCAAGUGCAUGAUUGACCAGGCACAUCAAGAAGAGCAGCCAAUCCCACAGAUUUUGUACCUUGGGAACCUGCUGGAGACUUGCCACUUCAAGGCCUUCUGGCAAGCCUUUGAUGAAAACAUGGACCUCUUGACAGGGAUAACUGGCUUUGAAGACUCUGUCUGAAAAUUUAUCUGCUAUAGGUAGCUGAAGGUGUGGAUGAGCAAGUACAGCUGGAGUGCUGAGGAGUCGGGACAGAUCUUCAUCUGUAGCCAGGAGGAGAGCAUUAAGCCCAAGAAUACCGUGGAGAAGAUUGACUUUGACAGUGUAUCCAGUAUCAUGGCCUCCUCCCAGUAACUACAGACUUCUAAUAAAGAUUGUUGACUUAAAAAAAA